UACGGAGGGUGCAAGCGUUAUCCGGAUUCAUUGGGUUUAAAGGGUGCGUAGGCGGUUUUUUAAGUCAGUGGUGAAACUAGCAGGCUUAACCUGUUACCUGCCAUUGAUACUGAAAGACUUGAAUAUUAUCGACGCGGGAGGAAUGCGACAAGUAGCGGUGAAAUGCUUAGAUAUGUCGCAGAACACCGAUAGCGAAGGCAUCUCGCGAGGUAAUUAUUGACGCUGAGGCACGAAAGCGUGGGGAUCAAACAGG
rnacentral:rRNA from 1 species